rnacentral:lncRNA from 1 species
CAAAAGGCCGGAAAAAUGACUCCCAGCAUUGAGCUGCCUAUCCCACAAGAAGCGGGUAUCAAACCAAAGGCACCGAGCAUGCUGGGAAAACACUCUAUCUAAGCCGCCUUCAAGUCCUCCUCUGCCCCAACAAAACAACAACAACCACAACAAAACCACCACCAUUAUUACAACAACCUCAAAACAAAGUGAAAUAUCUCCUGCUGCUUCUGUGUUUGGAUAAAGUACUUAGGAGAAAUUUGCAUAUCUAACUACUUAUCUGCUCUUUCGUGGGAAGUAAUCGGAUAAUAGGACGGAGACGGUCUCUUGGGUCAUAUAAUUGAACCACCAGCCAGC